CCUACGGGGAGCAGCAGUCGAGAAUUAUUCACAAUGGGGGAAACCCUGAUGGUGCGACGCCGCGUGGGGGAAUGAAGGUCUUCGGAUUGUAAACCCCUGUCAUGUGGGAGCAAAUUAAAAAGAUAGUACCACAAGAGGAAGAGACGGCUAACUCUGUGCCAGCAGCCGCGGUAAUACAGAGGUCUCAAGCGUUGUUCGGAAUCACUGGGCGUAAGGCGUGCGUAGGCUGUUUCGUAAGUCGUGUGUGAAAGGCGCGGGCUCAACCCGCGGACGGCACAUGAUACUGCGAGACUAGAGUAAUGGAGGGGGAACCGGAAUUCUCGGUGUAGCAGUGAAAUGCGUAGAUAUCGAGAGGAACACUCGUGGCGAAGGCGGGUUCCUGGACAUUAGCUGACGCUGAGGCACGAAGGCCAGGGGAGCGAAAGGGAUUAGAUACCCGAGUAGUC
rnacentral:rRNA from 1 species